CCUACGGGUGGCAGCAGUGAGGAAUAUUGGUCAAUGGACGCAAGUCUGAACCAGCCAUGCCGCGUGCAGGAAGACGGCUCUAUGAGUUGUACACUGCUUUUGUACGAGGGUAAACGCAGAUACGCGUCUCUGUCUGAAAGUAUCGUACGAAUAAGGAUCGGCUAACUCCGUGCCAGCAGCCGCGGUAAUACGGAGGAUUCAAGCGUUAUCCGGAUUUAUUGGGUUUAAAGGGUGCGUAGGCGGUCGUAUAAGUUAGAGGUGAAAUCCCGCGGCUUAACUUCGGACUUGCCUCUGCUACUGUGCGGCUAGAGAGUAGUGGCGGUAGGCGGAAGGUAUGGUGUAGCGGUGAAAUGCUUAGAGAUCAUACAGAACACCGAUUGCGAAGGCAGCUUACCAAGCUACUGCUGACGUUGAGGCACGAAAGCGUGGGGAGCAAACAGGAUUAGAUACCCGGGUAGUC
rnacentral:rRNA from 1 species